AUGCACGCUGACAGAAUGCUUAACACAUGCAAGUCUACUUGAACUUCGGUUUGGGUGGCGGACGGGUGAGUAACGCGUAAAGAACUUGCCUCACAGUUAGGGACAACAUUUGGAAACGAAUGCUAAUACCUGAUAUUAUGAUUUUAGGGCAUCCUAGGAUUAUGAAAGCUAUAUGUGCUGUGAGAGAGCUUUGCGUCCCAUUAGCUAGUUGGAGAGGUAACGGCUCACCAAGGCGAUGAUGGGUAGCCGGCCUGAGAGGGUGAACGGCCACAAGGGGACUGAGACACGGCCCUUACUCCUACGGGAGGCAGCAGUGGGGAAUAUUGGACAAUGGACCAAAAGUCUGAUCAAGCAAUUCUGUGUGCACGAUGACGUUUUUCGGAAUGUAAAGUGCUUUCAGUUGGGAAGAAAAAAAUGACGGUACCAACAGAAGAAGUGACGGCUAAAUACGUG
rnacentral:rRNA from 1 species